rnacentral:rRNA from 1 species
AUUGAACGCUGGCGGCAGGCCUAACACAUGCAAGUCGAGCGAGCGGCGGACGGGUGAGUAAUGUCUGGGAAACUGCCUGAUGGAGGGGGAUAACUACUGGUAACGGUAGCUAAUACCGCACACCAUCAGAUGUGCCCAGAGGGGAUUAGCUAGUAGGUGGGGUAAUGGCUCACCUAGGCGAAGAGCCCUAGCUGGUCUGAGAGGAUGAACAGUCAAACUGGAACGUAGACACGGUCCAGACUCCUACGGGAGGCAGCAGUGGGGAAUAUUGCACAAUGGGCGAAAGCCUGAUGCAGCCAUGCCGCGUGUAUGAAGAAGGCCUUCGGGUUGUAAAGUACUUUCAGCGGGGAGGCGUUACCCGCAGAAGAAGCACCGGCUAACUCCGUGCCAGCAGCCGCGGUAAUUC